AACGGCCAUACCAUGCUGAAUAUACCGAUUCUCGUUAGAUCACCGAAGUCAAGCAUCAUUGGGCGCGGUCAGUACUUGGUGGGUGACCACCUGGGAACACUGCGUGCCGUU
rnacentral:rRNA from 1 species